rnacentral:rRNA from 1 species
UACGAAGGGGGCUAGCGUUGCUCGGAAUUACUGGGCGUAAAGCGCACGUAGGCGGUCUUUUAAGUCGGGGGUGAAAUCCUGGAGCUCAACUCCAGAACUGCCUUCGAUACUGGAAGGCUCGAGUCCGGGAGAGGUGAGUGGAACUGCGAGUGUAGAGGUGAAAUUCGUAGAUAUUCGCAAGAACACCAGUGGCGAAGGCGGCUCACUGGCCCGGUACUGACGCUGAGGUGCGAAAGCGUGGGGAGCAAACAGG